rnacentral:rRNA from 1 species
UACAGAGGGUGCAAGCGUUAAUCGGAAUUACUGGGCGUAAAGCGUGCGUAGACGGUUAUGUAAGUCGGGUGUGAAAGCCCCGGGCUCAACCUGGGAAUUGCAUUCGAGACUGCAUAGCUAGGGUGCGGAAGAGGGAAGCGGAAUUUCCGGUGUAGCGGUGAAAUCCGUAGAUCUACGAAGGAACGCCAAAAGCGAAGGCAGCUCUCUGGGUCCCUACCGACGCUGGGGUGCGAAAGCAUGUGGAGCGAACAGG